UGGCGGUGUUCAAGGCCAGGUUGGACAGAGCCUUGGGUGACAUGGUUUAGUGCGAGGCGCCCCUGCCCAUGACAGGGGGUGUUGGAACUAGAUGAUCUUAAGGUCCUUUCCAACCCUA